UUUUGCUCCCAGUCAGGUUGUGUGCAAGAUGGGACAAUUCUCAGUUCUGCUUUUGCUGACAGUUCUCUGUGCAUUCUUUGAGGAAACUGAAGCAAAUCCAUUUGUUUACAACUAUGAGAGACUACGAAUUGGAGGCCUGAUCAUUGCAGGCUUGCUUGUAGCAGGUGGAUUGUUUGUCCUACUUA